AUUGAUACAGUGGGAUCAGCCAGUUUUGAUGGGGUGUCUUUUGCAGGAAGCUCUGGCUGGCUGUCAUCAUGUUGGAGAAACCUGGACACUGACAUCACGGGCAGUCAUGGGAGGAAGUGGUAAUGUACAUCCACAGCCCAAGGAGAGAGAGAUGGCUCCAACAGGCUCUUGGAGAGUGAGGACCAUGGCGUUGCAUCCACAGACCACGGCUCCAGGGAGUGUUGCCCACUUGUUCAUUAUUUUCUGGGUUUACCAGCUGGACCUCAGCAUGCAGGCUGAGGUGGAAGAAAGGGUACAGGCCAUGGUGGAAAGGUCCAGUCUGCUUUCCCAACGUCUAGUGAGUACAGGACAGGUAGGUCUGUGUCCUCAUGCUGGGUCAUAACAAAGGGACCCCAAUCAGUGUCCAAAGAUGCAUCUUUGGUGCCCUACAUCUAUAUUCUGUCCCUAUAUCCAAGUUCCACUACCCGUGGUGAAUUCCCAAACCUUCCACUCACCCCCUUCCCACUGUCAUUCCGAACUGCUUCCCCUCCCACAGCAAGAAACAACCCUAUCCUGGAGCCAGCCACCCCACAGGGACCCUUUGCCCAGGUCUCUGACUAGUACAAGAAGGGUCCCUUGGAAUCCACCCCUGCUGCUUUCUUCAGGUUUCCUCAGGUCUCCACUCGAGUCUCCCUGUCAGCUUCGCCCCAGUACCACCACCCACCUACUCCCAGGAGGCAAGUCUGUUGCUGGUUGAGGUGAGCAAAUUCAUGGCUAACUCUGCUCUCAGUGGUGUGGUGAUUGCUCUGGUGGGGGCUCCUGGAGGGAUGGGAUUUGGGAAGCCCUUAACUCACUUUCCUCUAGUGAUCUAUUGGCUCUCCUUUUAGGAGCUGCACUUCUGGCCCCUCAACAGCAUGCUCCUCCUCCCCCGGGCAAACUCCUGUUCUCGCUUCAAGAUCUUGUUCAUGGAGCCUCUGUGGUCUCUUGGCAGCAGGGUCAUAGAUGACCCUCAAGAAAGGGACCAGCUAGAACUGGGAGUCCAUGAGUGGUGCUCAGGAAAGCGGUAAUAUGGAGGUUGUCCAGGUCAGGAAGCCUGGGCUGGGAGCAUCCUGGAGCUGGAGGGAGUUCUACCCAGCUCAGGGCCCUGGGCUUGGUACUUCUGGUAGGCCCCCUAUUGCUAGUUUUGCCAGGUCCUAGAGAAGAUGCUCAUUCACCUUUGUGCUCUGUGCACUGUGGGUCACCACCCUGCAUCCCUGCAUCCCCCAGACCCCACUCUCCUUUAUUCUGCUUCUGUGCAGAUGUCACACAUGCAGUAGACAGACAAACCCUGAGCACAUGGUGUCCAGACACUGGCCCUGUCCAGAGGCUCUGUCCACGCAUGAACCCAGGUGCACAUGUGCCUG
rnacentral:lncRNA from 1 species